AGUGAACGCUGGCGGUAGGCCUAACACAUGCAAGUCGAACGGCAGCACAGUAAGAGCUUGCUCUUACGGGUGGCGAGUGGCGGACGGGUGAGGAAUACAUCGGAAUCUACUUUUUCGUGGGGGAUAACGUAGGGAAACUUACGAUAAUACCGCAUCCGACCUACGGGUGAAAGCAGGGGAUCUUCGGACCUUGCGCGAUUGAAUGAGCCGAUGUCGGAUUAGCUAGUUGGCGGGGUAAAGGCCCAGCAAGGCGACGAUCCGUAGCUGGUCUGAGAGGAUGAUCAGCCACACUGGAACUGAGACACGGUCCAGACUCCUACGGGAGGCAGCAGUGGGGAAUAUUGGACAAUGGGCGCAAGCCUGAUCCAGCCAUACCGCGUGGGUGAAGAAGGCCUUCGGGUUGUAAAGCCCUUUUGUUGGGAAAGAAAAGCAGCAGGUUAAGACCCCGCUGUUCUGACGGUACCCAAAGAAUAAGCACCGGCUAACUUCGUG
rnacentral:rRNA from 1 species